rnacentral:rRNA from 1 species
AUACGGAGGAUCCAAGCGUUAUCCGGAUUUAUUGGGUUUAAAGGGAGCGUAGGCGGUCUGUUAAGUCAGGGGUGAAAGACGGUGGCUCAACCAUCGCAGUGCCUUUGAUACUGACGGACUUGAAUAUAGUUGAGGUAGGCGGAAUGUGACAAGUAGCGGUGAAAUGCAUAGAUAUGUCACAGAACACCAACUGCGAAGGCAGCUUACUAAGCUAUGAUUGACGCUGAGGCUCGAAAGCGUGGGGAUCAAACAGGAUUAGAUACCCUGGUAGUCCACGCCCUAAACGAUGAUGACUCGAUGUUAGCGAUAUACAGUUAGCGUCCAAGCGAAAGCGUUAAGUUAUCCACCUGGGGAGUACGGUCGCAAGAUUGAA